UACUGAAGGAACCGCUUGUGGUUUUAAC
rnacentral:sRNA from 1 species